UACGUAGGCAGCAAGCGUUGUUCGGAGUUACUGGGCGUAAAGAGUGUGUAGGCGGUUCUCUAAGUUCCGUGUGAAAUCUCCCGGCUCAACUGGGAGGGUGCGCGGAAAACUGGAGGGCUGGAGUAUGGGAGAGGGAAGUGGAAUUUCAGGUGUAGCGGUGAAAUGCGUAGAUAUCUGAAGGAACAUCAGUGGCGAAAGCGACUUCCUGGACCAAUACUGACGCUCAUGUGCGAAAGCGUGGGGAGCAAACAGG
rnacentral:rRNA from 1 species